UUCAAUCCUACACGUUAUUGUACUACAGUACAGUAGGUGGCGGUAUACUGUAGUAUGCUGUUCAUGUCCGCAUCGUCAUACGCGCCAGCACCCCUGAAAGACUGCAGGAACAGAAACCCCUGGAAAGAUGAGUUCCCUAUUAAAGAGAGGCUUGAUGCUGUUUACUCCACACUCUUAGGCUGAUUUUGGAUUAUUUGUCUGUGAAGACACAGUAGUUCAGUUUCUGAAUCCCAUCAAGAAUGAAGACCUGCAGGCCACCAUAUUGAGCUGCAGGGUCUGAUGUCAUAAUAUGGCGCUUUUCCAAUGUAGGGUACAACUUGGCUCGGCACAAUGCAGCUCAUACCGCUUUCAUUGCUUUUCCAGUACAGUUUAGUAUCGCUUCAGAGUGGGUGAGAUUAUAGGCAGGGGUGCACAUAAGGGUGUGUAUGCGCGAUUAGAAACAAUUCCAGCGUACCAACGUUGCUGAAAUUUUGUUACAUAGUUAGCUAAUUUACUGCAACAUAAGGGAUUUCAUAACAUCUCGAUCACUCCCCAGUGACUGGUCCCAGUAUAGGUCAUAAACCCCGCCUCCCCCAUGUUAUUUAAUGGGACUUGAGACCAAGCUGUUUUUUGUCAUUUACUGUAGGUUUUAUCAUGCUGAUGUAAAUUCAAGUGUUUGUUUUUAAAAUAAGUUUGUUUUUAGUUAGUUAGUUAAUGCUAUAAAACGGUGUUGUCACGUCAUGAUUGACAGCUGUGUAUGCACAUUCUGGGAGAGUGAGGGCGGGGCCUUGAUUUCGCGGCUUUACAUCCUGCUCACUACUGUGCAGGACUGGUCCCGAAAUUGCUACUGCGCAGACUCAAGACCCAAGAUGUCAGCGGCGACACUGGCGGCUUCAUUUUUUACCAAUGGAAGAAAGCAAGCUCUCCAGGUGCUCCUUUUAGAACCAGGACAAAAAAAGUUAUGUGCACCUCUGAUUAUAGGCUUAUUGUUACAGUUGCGUCCCCUCUACUGCCGUAACAUCAUCGUAAAUGUGAUACAAACACACACACAACAUGGAGCAACAUAGCAUAUUAAUGGAAUGUAGCCACAAAAUCAAAAUUGACAGCCACAACUACAUUUUCCACUACCUCUCUCACAUGACAGGUUCUGUACAAACACCCGUGUCAUCAGUAUCAGCUCUCCGCGGACAGAACAUUUAAGCCAUGACGCCUAUAUUUUUGGUGCGUUUUGGAUGCGGAGCCAUGCGCAAAGUUACAAAAAUGCCAUGCAGACAUAGGCAUGGUGGUGUGCUCUGCAUUUUUGUAACUUUGCACAUGACUUCACAUCCGAAACCCCAUCCCAUUACUCCUCCCCCAAAAGUGAGCUGUGCUGAACUGGGUUAUACUAUGCAGUGGAAAAGCGCCAAAAGUGUCCUACUUCGUGGCUUGAAGGAUUUAGGUAAGCAAAUUUAUCUGACACAUCACAACCUAAAACCUUAUAAAAAAGUUAAAAAAAAUUCUUGAUCUUAACAUUUAUUCACAUUUAAUGAGAUAUGGAGAUUUUUAUCUUUCACAGAUGAAUACAUUUGAGUAAGCCGUUUUUAUGUCUAAACACCGCGGUCCACCAUACAUGAAAGUCAUCAUGUUUCUACAGUAGCCCAAAACGGACAAACUGUUCUACAGAGCGUGUUUCGUCCAUACGUUGUCUCAAGGGCUCAUUAUAGCAUGCAGACCGCUGGUAGGCAGUUUCCACGCGUGUAACCACAGAAGCAGCUUGGCCAGUUUAACUCACAAAUGAAGAAACAGCAGAUUGUUGUGUAUGUUUUGAGAAGACCAACAGCAGUGGCGGCCGGUGACUUCUUUUUUUGAGGGCACUCGAUUCGAAGUUCGUCACAACAUGUAUGUAGCCCGUCAUGUGUGUGGUUUCUUUUUUCAAAAUAUGUGUUCUGCGCUUUGAGAGAUCCUAUGUGCAUCACGUGUCAUGUCAAAAUAAGUGCCUGCUGCAGAUGCGUCUAAAGGGUUUAUGAUAAAAGAGACACUCACGAUUGCCAGAUACUCACAUAAUCUCAUGUGUAAUCAGAGUUUACUGUUUUGGGAGUGUCUUGCAUGUAUUUUGUGAACGUGAGCGUCUCUUUUUUAUCAUAAACGGUUUUGACGCGUGUGCAGCAGGCACUUAUUAUGACAAAACAUGUGAUGCACACAGGAUCUCUCAACACGCAGGACACAUAUUUUGAAAAAGGCACAUGAUACUCUGUACACUUAUUUUGAAUUAGCGGCCCUCGGAUGAGGAGUAACGAACGCCACUGAUGGAAGUAAAUAAACAGCGAAUCGUUGCAGUUUGAGUAAAAUCACUCCUCAACUUUGCCUAUCUUUGUUCUCACCGUCGCAAUUGGAAAUGGCUAUGAUGCAGUUUUUUACCUGAUGAGAGGGGUUCUAAUGGACCAGUAACAGCGCUUGAAGUCCGCGUAGAACUGAAGCGCUGUUAAAAAUCAGGCUACGCAGAGCUACGCUCAGGCUAGGGAUAACCUACAGUGUAGACCUUACGCACGCACUAUAACAUGGGCUUCAGACAAUGACAUUUUUGUCCUGUGGCAGCUACCAUAGAAUCUCAUUGCGUUUCGAAAUUGAGGUUGAUUGCAAUUUCACCGCUAGAUGCCACAACAAAAUAUAAUACACAUUUAACAUAUAUAACUUUUGAUUUUAAAUAUGGAUUAGCAAAUGCUGAAAUUAACAUGAACUAAGAUUAAUAAAUAUUGUAGAAGUAUUGUUUAUUGUUAGUUCAUGGUAGCAAAUGCUAACAAAUACAAGCUUAUUGUAAAGUGUUACCAUUGCAAUUUGAUACUAAACCUAAAAAUGUGUAAAUGUCUUACCUGUAUCUUUUUCACUGUUCUUUUCCAGCAGUUUCAGCGUUGGACUUGUAAUUCUGCGUGUUUGGCUUCUUUAGCACUUGCUGUUUGAAAGUCAUUGCUUGCAACAGAUUGAGCGACUGUCAUUCUACAUUUCUGUUUGCAUUGCUUUGCUUGCAUUUUGAAUCCUUCGCAAUAAUAACUAUGCAAAAAGUUUUACAUUUGAACUGUAGUUGUAGAUUUAAAUUUGUUUUUCCUUGAUAUAAUGUAUUUAUAUAGAUUUUUACAAUUAUUUAUCAUGCAGUGCUUCAUAUAUGAGAAAGACAACGCUUGAAGAACCACACAACACUCAUAUUAAUGUAUGUGUCAUAUUAAUAAAAAUAAACAAGUCUUUGCACUUCAUUUAUAUUUAAUUGAGUGAUAUGUAACUUCACAAUGGUGGAUUCUUUAACUAUUACAUGAAUAUGUGCAUUGUGAUUUCGAUUUAUUGACCAUAGUUAUGUGUUAGGAAUAGUGGAGAAAAUCAUUUACUAAAAAAGACAAAGGUGCCAGAUCUUUCAUUUACUUUAAAUGCAAUAAAAUUAUAGAACAAUUGUAAGCAGCUUUAAUGGAAUCUAUGUAAUAUAGUCAGUAAAGCAUACUAAGUAGUUUAUAAAUUAAGAAAUUCUUAAUAUUAGAUACUAUAAAUUACGAUUUUCAUUAGUAAAGCCAUAGCAAAAACAGCAUUUUUACUUUGAUGUUGCAUAAAAGGGUAACUCUUAUGGUUAAAUGUGUAUGGGUUUAUAUUAAAGCUUCGAGUGGUUUCACGUCCCCGGAAGGUCCGCCAGCGAACGUUGUCUAGCGGACCAUAUGCGGACGUCACCAGAAGGUCCGCCAGAAAACGGUUUUUAGCGGACUUUGUGCGGACGUCCCCGGAAUGUCCGC